UGGGGAAUUUUGGACAAUGGGCGAAAGCCUGAUCCAGCAAUGCCGCGUGUGUGAAGAAGGCCUUCGGGUUGUAAAGCACUUUUGUCCGGAAAGAAAUCCUUGGCUCUAAUACAGUCGGGGGAUGACGGUACCGGAAGAAUAAGCACCGGCUAACUACGUGCCAGCAGCCGCGGUAAUACGUAGGGUGCAAGCGUUAAUCGGAAUUACUGGGCGUAAAGCGUGCGCAGGCGGUUUGCUAAGACCGAUGUGAAAUCCCCGGGCUCAACCUGGGAACUGCAUUGGUGACUGGCAGGCUAGAGUAUGGCAGAGGGGGGUAGAAUUCCACGUGUAGCAGUGAAAAUGCGUAGAGAUGUGGAGGAAUACCGAUGGCGAAGGCAGCCCCCUGGGCCAAUACUGACGCUCAUGCACGAAAAGCGUGGGGAGCAAAACAGGAUUAGAUACCCUGGUAGUCCACGCCCUAAAACGAUGUCAACUAGUUGUUGGGGGAUUCAUUUCCUUAGUAACGUAGCUAACGCGUGAAGUUGACCGCCU
rnacentral:rRNA from 1 species